AUGUACAGCCGUAAACUCCGGUUCCUCUGCCCCGUCCGUGCUCGCCCGCUAAUUGCUUGCUACGUUUUGUCAGCC
rnacentral:sRNA from 3 species